CCUACGGGAGGCAGCAGUGGGGGAUAUUGCACAAUGGGGGGAACCCUGAUGCAGCGACGCCGCGUGGGUGAAGAAGCGCCUCGGCGCGUAAAGCCCUGUCAGCAGGGAAGAAAAUGACGGUACCUGAAGAAGAAGCCCCGGCUAAAUACGUGCCAGCAGCCGCGGGAAUACGCAGGGGGCAAGCGUUAUCCGGAUUUACUGGGGGUAAAGGGGGCGCAGACGGCGAUGCAAGCCAGGCGUGAAAGCCCGGGGCCCAACCCCGGGACUGCUCUUGGAACUGCGUGGCUGGAGUGCAGGAGGGGCAGGCGGAAUUCCUGGUGUAGCGGUGAAAUGCGUAGAUAUCAGGAGGAACACCGGUGGCGAAGGCGGCCUGCUGGACUGCAACUGACGUUGAGGCCCGAAAGCGUGGGGAGCAAACAGGAUUAGAUACCCGGGUAGUC
rnacentral:rRNA from 1 species